rnacentral:rRNA from 1 species
GACGAACGCUGGCGGCGUGCUUAACACAUGCAAGUCGAACGGAAAGGCCCUGCUUCUGUGGGGUGCUCGAGUGGCGAACGGGUGAGUAACACGGGUGUAACCUGCCCUCGACUUUGGGAUAACUUCAGGAAACUGGGGCUAAUACCGGAUAGGAGCUCCUGCUGCAUGGUGGGGGUGGGAAAGUUUCGGCGGUUGGGGAUGGACUCGCGGCUUAUCAGCUUGUUGGUGGGGUAGUGGCUUACCAAGGCUUUGCCGGGUAGCCGGCCUGCGAGGGUGACCGGACACAUUGGGACUGAGAUACGGCACAGACUCCUACGGGAGGCAGCAGUGGGGAAGAGUGCACAAUGGGCGGAAGGCUGGUGCAGCAACGCCGCGUGCGGGAUGACGGCCUUCGGGUUGUAAACCGCUUUCGCCUGUGACGAAGCGUGAGUGACGGUAAUGGGUAAAGAAGCACCGGCUAACUACGUG